rnacentral:lncRNA from 1 species
CAGGUUUUUCUGCAUGGGUACCCGUAGCUGCUCUGUUCCUGGUUUAGAGGAGAAGGGGGAGGCAGUCGCGGCGCAUGCUGGAGGCUGGAGCUUGAGUUGGCUCGCCUCGCUGCUGCGGUUCCUGGCGGUGAGGGAGGCUACAGCACAGCCAGAAUGGUAAAAAGCUGGCGGAAUAGGUUCAUUAUCCCGGGAUGUACCGUCAGUGCUUUCCCGCCCCCGCACCGACCCGGAGGGGUCAUGAAGUUCCUGGCUCCCACCCAGAGUGCGUGUCUCUCCCUCCGGGGGUACCUCAAAGCGUCAAGAAGUUCCCAGGGAACGGGGUCAGGCGCCCAGGGUUCCAGGGAGAGUUUGAAGCAGGCUGCGGAGAAAAAGCGGCGAGGCCGAAGAAGAGGCUGGGUUCCCGUGAUGGAGGCUUGGCACUUGCCCUCAAAAAAGAUGGCGCGGAAGACCUCACGCGCCUCACGCGACCUGACCGCAGGACUCCUGCGCGGCUCAUAUCCCCGCACAGGGCGGCCGAGAGGGGAGGAGGAAGCAUGGACUGGAGGGCGGGUGUGGCCGGGGAGGCUCUUGGCAGCUGUUGUGUGGCUGCGCUGCUGGAGCUGCCGGGCGGGCGGGAUGCUGUACCCCCGGAGGAGACCCUCGCAGGAGCGCCAGGAGCUGGACGGCCUCUGGAGCUUCCGCGCCGACUUCUCCGACAGCGGAUACAGGGACUUCGAGGAGCAGAGGUAUCCCAAGGGUUACUUUGUCCAGAACACAGACUGACUUCUUCAACUACACGAGACUGGAGCGGUCUGUGGUUGUAUACACAACACCAACUACCUGCAUCGAUGACAUCACCAUCACCACCGGCGUGGAGCAAGAUAGUGUAGAGAUGGGGUUUCACCAUGUUGGCCUGGUUGGUCUUGAACUCCUGACCUCAGAUGAUCCACCCGCCUGGGCCUCCCAAAGUGCAGGGAUUACAGGUAUGAGCCUCCGUGCAUGGCUGGGAUACCCUUUCUUUAAGAAAAAUUUAAAAAAAAAUUGUUUUAAAUGUAUAUUUUUCCUUUUGUGAGAGGAGGCCCUGCACUGUCGCCCAGGCUGGAUGGCAGUGGUGUGAUGAUUGACAGCUGUUGUGGGGCCGCAGUUGUAAGUUUCAAAGAAUUUAGGCUGGGUGUGGCGGCUAAUGCCUGUCAUCCUAGCACUUUGGGAGGCCACGGUGGCUGGAUUGCUUGGGAUUGCUUGAGCUCAAAAGUUCAAGACCAGCCUGGGCAACAUAGUAAGACCCUGUCUCAAAAAGAAUAAAGAAUUUAAAUAAAUAAAAAAGAAUUUAAAU